rnacentral:rRNA from 1 species
AGCGUUGUCCGGAUUAUUGGGCGUAAAGCGCGCGCAGGCGGAUUGGUCAGUCUGUCUUAAAAGUUCGGGGCUUAACCCCGUGAUGGGAUGGAAACUGCCAAUCUAGAGUAUCGGAGAGGAAAGUGGAAUUCCUAGUGUAGCGGUGAAAUGCGUAGAUAUUAGGAAGAACACCAGUGGCGAAGGCGACUUUCUGGACGAAAACUGACGCUGAGGCGCGAAAGCCAGGGGAGCGAACGGGAUUAGAUACCUCGGUAGUCCUGGCCGUAAACGAUGGGUACUAGGUGUAGGAGGUAUCGACCCCUUCUGUGCCGGAGUUAACGCAAUAAGUACCCCGCCUGGGGAGUACGACCGCAAGGUUGAAACUCAAAGGAAUUGACGGGGGCCCGCACAAGCGGUGGAGUAUGUGGUUUAAUUCGACGCAACGCGAAGAACCUUACCAGGUCUUGACAUUGAUGGACAGAACCAGAGAUGGUUCCUCUUCUUCGGAAGCCAGAAAACAGGUGGUGCACGGUUGUCGUCAGCUCGUGUCGUG